AUGGCCAAAUGAAACUAUUUAUUAUUUUUUUAAAUAAACAUUGUUUCUCCCUUUAAAAAAAACCCUAGAAUUUAAAUAUUUCCAAUGCCAUCACAUAGAAGUCUGUAUACAUUAUUUACAUCUCUCAAUUAAAACAUAUUGCAGAUUUUCUAACAUUCAGUAUCCCCUGUUAAAACAAAAAUGAUGAAGUGUGAUCAAUAAUAAUUACAAUUCGAGUCAUCUCGGCACAGUUUACAAUGUAGCGCCCAUGUUGCAUCUCAUGUCUCAGACCAUUUUUCCCUCUUUCAGCUACUCUGAUAUAGCGGGAAGCUGUCUGUCUCCAUAAGAGCAGGAGCCUGUCUUUACUCGUCCUCCACAGCACGUGGCCAGUGUGAACUCGGCCUCACGCUUCCGUUUACGGCACUGGCAGUAUUCUUCAGGUUUUGUCCUCAGAAAUGAUUCUACUAAAACCUGAAGUAGUCCCAUGUAUACUGUAUUCUCUCUCAACCUAGAUUUCAUGAUGCUGUUUCUAGAUAAUUUUAAGUUGUAAUGUAUAGGAAAAGUUCAAAUGAAAGAAAAGUUAAGUUUUCCUUACAAGCUUGGUGCCCUGACCACCCUAGUUAUGUGUGUACAAAAAUAACAAAUACAAUUUAGUGCCUGUAAAAAAAAACCACUUCCCCUAAAAAUAGUUAUCUCUGCAGAGUAGUUUUAAGGAGAAAAGUGUUCUUAGAAUGAAAAUGCGCCAAUCUAUUUUACAACCUGCACAAUUAAGUAAACGAAAUAAAAAUGAAAACAUGUGCAAACCUCUAAGAAACACACAAUUAAGAAUAUAUAACAAAUUAAAUAUUAAUAAAAAAUUUAAACAUAUCACUAAUAACCUUAGCUUCAGUGACACAGCUUAAAGGAAGCUGUCAACUGACACAAACCAAAAAUGCUUUUGUAAGUUAUAUCUUUCCAACACUUCAGCUGCAACCUAUGUAUUGACAACAAUUACUUUACAAUCACUAACAGUGAGGACCUACAUAAUCAACCUGUUUUAUUUUCCACCUAUUGGGGGGAUGGGAGGUUGGGGGGAGGGAGAGGUCGGGAAAGUCAUUACUGAAAGGAAGUAAUUUAUGGAGAAGGAGAUGACAGGUAAAUAUACAGCUUGGAAAGGCUAGGGAUUUCACUAUCUUUGAGAAUUCUUCAAUUUUUCUAUUAUAUGCAGAAAAGGAAAUCCAUAUCACACUUGCAAAACUGAGAAUACUCAGUAUUUCAGUCUGUAUUUUCUCUUUUGUCAAAAUUUAAGUAUCCGUUCAGCUACAAGUGGCGGACACAGAGCACAGUUUUACACCUUCAAAAUGAAUUUUUCUCUAUGAUAACCUCAUUAGGAGAGCCUCAAAAAUUCAAACUGUCUGCAGUCACAAUUGUUACUACAUCUUAAAAUUAAAUUUUUCCAUUAAAUCUUGAAAUAGCUUUACCUCUAAACAGCUUAAACGGAUAGCUGAAAAAUAGUAAUUCCUAUGAUAAAACUUAACAUUAUGACAAAACUCUGAUAUUUAAAUUAUUUUAGGAGUGGUCCUUAAAGUACAGAUCUAGAGUAGUGUUUCUAGGAAAUGGUAUAUUCUUUAAUAUCCCAGAUAAGUUUUAAAAUAAGUUUUCCUCUUGGUAUGCAGUGACAUUUUCAAAUACACUUCUUGUCUAUAUCUUUUAAAAAAAGAUUGAAAAUGUUAAAGUUAUAAAUGACCUAUGAAAUGAUUAUACAAUUUGAAAUAUUUUAUCUGUGAUACACAGACUUAAAUUCAGCAUAGUUAAUAUAAAAGUUAUUCUAAUUUCUUUGUACAAUGAUCUCCAGUAUUUAAAUUCAAAUUGUUCAUUUGAGUAAAAAUAAGUUUAAAAAAAAAAGGAUGGAGAUAAAAGGCUGUUUUUUUUAAGCUACUUCUAUCUUAAAUAUUGGAUCCAUUAAUUUUUUUUAAAUUACCCCUUCAAUCAAAACUACCCUACAGCAGUCAAAAUAUAAUCCAAAAGUUAUCAGGGAAAGGAACCAAAAUUAGAAAAUAAGAAAAAGACUUUGAUUUUUUUAAAUUAUUAAAUAUAGCUGUAAGAUAAACUAUAUUUAAAAAAUAAAAUAAAAUAAUACAUCCAAAUGAUACUGUCUACUUCAAAGUAGUCACAUCAGGAAACUAUUCCUUUAUUAAAUGAUGCUACAGGAAUUCCCUUGUGGCUCAGCAAGUUAAAGAUCUGGCUUGUCACUGCUGAGGCGCAGGUUCCAUCCAUGGCUAUGGAACUUCAUGCCGCUGGUAUGGUCAAAAAAAAGAUGUUACAAAUCAAUGCUCAAAACAUUCUUUUCUGCAAAUUCAGAGCCUAUGGCAUAUUCUUUUGAACUUCUUUAAUAGUUUAGUUCUAAGAAAACAACCAAAGUCAUUUUGAUGAAUAAUCUAGGUCAUUAUUUUAUUUUAUUUUUUGGCUUUUGUCUUUUUAGGCCACAACCACGGCAUAUGGAGGUUCCCAGGCUAGGGGAUGAAUAGGAGCUGUAGCUGCCAGUCUACGCCACAGACACAGCAACAUGGGAUCCAAGCCGUAUCUGAAACCUAUACCACAGCUCACAGCAACGCCAGAUCCUCAACCCACUGAGCAAGGCCAGGGAUCGAGCCUGCAUCCUCAUGGAUAAUAGAUUUGUUUCCACCGAGCCAUGACGGGAACUCCAAUGAUAUAGGUCAGAUUAAGCUUCCAGAGAAAUUUUUCAGUGCAACUAAAAUGAUGAAAUAGAUUUUCUUGCAUAGUCACCCACUGAUUCUCAAGCAUCUCUGAAAGCAUCCCAGGAACAUCAAACCUUUGCGGCACAGCUGGAAUAAGUAGUGCUCCCAAAGAAACCACUCUGAAGAUCACUUCUCAAUUGGAUGUUUAAGGUAUGACAAAUUUAUUUUAAAAGAAAGUCCUACAACUUAAUAAUUGUAUCUCACAUAUGUUACCAUUUCAGUGGUUAGUAAAACCUCUCUUGGAGAGGGUGUAGACAAAGGUAUAAAAGAAGUCUGUCGUUUUUCUAUUUUCCCAUAAGCAAGGAAAAUGCUAAUACAUAAAAUGGAGUGCGGUGAUCAUGUGUAAAAUAUAAAUAUCCACAUUAUCUGUAAUUCCUGAAUAUAAGAGAUUAUAGUGUUUUAUCUUUCCUGAUAAGCCAGGCAGAAACUCAGGUUUCAACAUACUUAUUAUACACUAAAUAUGUCCUUUCCUACCUAAUUUUAUGUUCACCAUUUAGCAUUUACAAAUGACAAAGGUAGGAAGAGAUAGUAAUCUAAAAAUCUUUCAAUUUAAGAUAAAAUGACCUCCAAAGCCUCUACCAGCUAACACAUACUUACUAUUUCAGUGCAGCCUGAUGCUAUGGUUUUUAUGGGAAACAGAAUAAUCAAGCCAGCAGAUAAAAGCCAGUAGCACCAUCUACAGCCAAUGAAAAGAUUUUCACUCUUUCUAUAAUUAAUUUCUCUCUACACCCAUUACUCCAUCAUUUCAAUUCCUAAAACAUGCUUCACAUCAACACUUAACCAAAGCAUUGUGACAAUAAAACUAUGUUAACUUACUACUUUAUAUUCCAUGCUUUCACCAGUGGAUGAGAAAACCAGUUCUACUUUAUAUCUCUGCAUGAAGAGCAGGGGGGUGGGGAGGGGAUGACCAUUAUCCUGGUUAUUUAUAAUUAAGAGAUGUAGAAAGAAUCCAAUAGACUUUUUUUUUUUUUUGUCUUCUGUCUUUUUAGGGCCAUGCCCAUGGCAUAUGGAGGUUCCCAGGCUAGGGGUCUAAUCGGAGCUGCAGCUGCUGACCUACACCACAGCUCAUGGCAACGCCGGAUCCUUAACCCACUGAGCAAGGCCAAGGAUCAAACCCACCACCUCAUGGUUCCUAGUCAGAUUCGUUUCCGCUGUGCCAUGACAGGAACUCCUCCAAUAGACAUUUAUAAGCAAACUCUAAUGCAAAACUAAGAUUUUUGAUCCUUAUUUUAUAAAAGGCAUUUUACUAACACCUGCUCACAGGAACCAACUGAAGCAAAGCAACUUUUUACUCUAUCAGUUAUUUCUCACGUGCUCUGGUGUUUCCUUACUUGCAGCCAUGUAACACUGUGUACAAUGCCAGGCCUCUCCCUGGGAGAAUGUCUCUACUUUGUUACUACCGUAUAUACACAAACAUAUCUCCUUACUUCCCAAUACCUCUGUUUAAAGGAAUAUUUAGAAGCAGGCACCUGAGAUUCUGGCACAGUGACAAGAAACUUCUAUCUACAAAGAGUGGAAAAGAAAGCGCUAUGACUAAACCUUAAUUUAAAAUAAUUUUAAUUAACAUUGGUACAGUGUACUACUGUAUAAGGCUUAAAUAAACAAAAACAAUUUUUCACUUUUCUCUCCACACUUGGCUAUUGCAACCCCUCUGUUACUAGGUUGGUAUGAAGUCAAAUAAAGUAUAUGGAAGACUACUGGAAUAGUUACAUGCUUCACUUUGCUAAGUAGACAGGACCCCAAAUCACUAAACACCAAAAUUCAUUUCUGAAUCAACUCACAGUGGCUGAAUUAUAUAUCUGAAUACUAAAAGAUUUCUUCUAAGGAAAUCAGCUAGUUCUCACUGCAGUUUACAAAUAAGUAUUACCAAUGAAUGUCCAACAUAUUUGCCUCUACUAGGCUCUCCUUUUACUUCCCCCAUUCGUACUUGGAGACUGAUUGCGAGAAAUGAAAUGGAGAAAAAGGCAGUUCCUAGUGAUCAUAAUUAUAACGGCAUUAAACUGUAUCACUAAUCUACUUGCUAAUGGCCAAAACAAAUUGAUUUCAUUCUAGAUUUUCUACUAUGUUUUUAGUCUAUACAAUUUCAGAGCAAGAUUUCUAUUCUACAAGGAAAAAGGCAUACAUUUCUUAGUGAAGGAAGAAUAUAUACUUCUAACAGAAGGAAACAUUUACCAGAUAUGACAAAAUUAAAACUGGAAGUCUAAAAAGGAUAUUUCUCAAGAAUAGAACUGAGGUGGAAAAUGUUAAUGUUUUAAAAAAUUAAGUUUCUGAAUUUUUUACUUAUGGGAAUAGUUUGCUAGAAUGUCAUAAAAAAAGUAAAAGUUAAUAACUACUAAUUUAGCACUUUCAUUGUUUGAUACCGCCAUAAAGAGAAAGAUUUCCUUUCACAGUGGAAAAAAUCAGAAGUCAGAAUGCUUCAAGUUGGGCUUAUAAUAAGCAAAGAAGGUACUGCAUCAUUUUAAAAUGACAGGCAAACACCAGCUCCAUUCACUGAAUGGAAAUGCUGAAAAGUGAUCAAUUUCCCCAAAUAGUUCUUAAAUUCAAAGUUUAAGUCUAUAUCUAAAAUUAAUAAUUUAUUUUUAACUUCUCAUGGAAGUUCAUUUCUAAAAGGAGAGUCUCUAAGACUGUGUUUAUAAGAUAUUGAUUAAAAUCUUCAUGCCAUUCAAGGGUUUUGAGACAAGACUUUCUUGAACUUGACUCCCCAUACUUAACACCCCAUACAAACUAACCCCCCCACCCCCAACCAAACACACACUCCUAUCCCCUCCUCUUCAAAGUAGAAGGGGAUUCUGCAGACUUAUGGCUCAUUUGGCAAUUGCUAAGAAACCUCACAGUUCAGCAUCACCUCUGAAGAUGGCAAGCCUAUAUAUAACCUGAAUUUUUACACCUACAGUGCAGUUAACAUGUAGAAAGAAGCCAAAAUGUAAAAGGUAUUACAUUUCAACAUCUUCAAGUUUCAAUAUCACAGAUAUCAAGAGAUGGAAAAGACCUGCUUGUAGAACUUUAAGCAUCUGUUGAACAGAACUACUAUCAAUAUCAAAAAUAAUUAAGAAAUACUAAUUUUUUGUGCUCUACAUGCAAACCUUUACAAACUGUGUUUCUUUAAUGUUGUAAAAGCUGGAGAUCACCAAUUUAGGUAAGCUAUGGCUUUUAUCAAUAGGUAUUUUAAAACAUGCACCAGUAAGUGCCCUGGAGAGUAAUCCUAAUAUUGUUUCAAGCCCUGUUCAGUUCCAUGUCUGUGCUUUGCACCUCAGAAGUGAGCCUGCCAAGGCACUUAAAAACAUAACAUUUUUGGGGACUUCAAAAAUCAGCCACAAUUUACACAAUGGAGAACCGCCAUCCAUCAGCAGUCCAAUUAAUAAGCAUUUUCUCUCUGCCUCUAAUAUUAUCAAAAAUUCCCCAAAUUAAAAAAAAAAAAUACUGUAUGCCACUAAGACAAAAUUUACCCUAUCAAGUGUACGGAGAAUGGUUCUUGGCUUCCUCUAGCAAUAGGAUAUGGUUUCAUUUAUUCAGAAUAAAGAAAAAGGAACCCAAACAAGCCCCCCAAACCUAAGACAAAAGCAACCAAGAUAAAUAUAAACAAAAUCCAAAUGCACUCCACACAGCCUCAUUUAAGGAACAAUUUGCGCAAGUCUGCAUCCUUUUAUCUGUCCUUUGAAGUGAGUUUUUCAAUCAGUUCUUGGAGGGGUGCAAGUUCUCUUCUAUCAAUAAGGUUGAAUUCCUAUGCAUGACAAAGGCAGAAGAAAGAGCAAAAACAUAUUAUUUACAUCUCAUUCCAAAACAGAUUCCUAUUAACAUUUGUUAGAAAUUAGCUUUUGAAAUAAACAAAAGUCAAAUCUUUUUUCAAAAAAAUUUUUUUCUAUUCCCUAGUUCUGUGUUUUAGGCAAAUUAGUUAACCACUUCUGAUGUAUGUUUUACAUCUUUAAUAAUAUUAGGGUAAUAAAUCCUCCUACAUCAUAAGGUUAUUGUGGGAUCUAAAUGUGAUACUAUGUGUUAACCACUUGAUGUAAUCCCUGGUUCAAAGUAAAUGCUCAGUAAAUGGGAAUUGCUGCUUCCUAUUGAAAGGAGUACAGUCAACCUAGUAGGGACCAAAAAAAUCUAGUAUCUCAGGCAAAUUUCAGCAUUAUAUGAAGAAUAAAGGAGUUAGUUCAGCAUAGCUGCAAGCUACCAUAAGAUGUGGUAUGAGAAUGACAUGAAUAAUGUGGAGUCCACAAAUGAUAAAUAAAAUCCUGUGAAGAAUAGGAAAGCCUGGAUUUAUUUGUGCUUCUGCACCACUGUCAUUCUGAAAUUCAAUUCUGAAUAGAUUUCCCCUGAAUAGUAAAUUAUAAGCCUAAUAAAUACAGGCUGUCAAUACUUCUGACCUUUCGAUAUUGUCACAAUGGGGCAUUCAGAGCUACUAAUCUCAUUGAUUUAUUAGCAUCCACCAUGUGCCAAGUACUAUAGUAAGUACAGGGGAAAAUAAGGCAUAUUUAAUAGCAAGCCUACCACUAAGAUUUGGGGCAUCCAGAAUUCCCACUGCAGCUCAGGAGUGGUGAACCUGACUAAUAUCCUAGCCUUGCUCAGUGGGUUGAAGCUGUGGUGUGGCUGUGAGCUGUGGUGUAGGUCACAGAUGUGGCUUGAUCCAGCAAUGCUGUGGCUGUGGUGUAGGCUGACAGCCUUAGCUCUGAUUCGACCACUAGCCUGGGAACUUCCAUAUGCCACAAGUGCAGCCCUAAAAACCAAAAAAAAAAAAAAAAAAAGAUUUGUAGUAUCUGGACCAAUAACACAAAUGGAUGUAUAUCAUGUGACUAAAUUAUAAUAUUUUACAUUAAACUAAUUUAUUGUUAUAUAUGUUCAAUGCUCCUACCUUGACAAAAACACUUUCAUAGUAGCCAGGAAAGCAGAUUCAAAUUUAGAAUUUUAGAUUCCUCAGGAUUCUGUACUGGAAGGUAGUAACAUGAGGAGAGACAGGCCCUGGUCCCUAGUAAACUUACCUACCCUAUCAAACCCCAGCUCCAUCCUGUACUUCAGAGGGUUUCACAUGAAGGAAUAUGGACACACUGAUUAGCUUAUAAAGGCACUGUCCUCAGACACUCAUGAAGAGCUGCCAUCUGGUUAUCCUUUGGGUCCAGAGACAUGACCUUCCUUUAAAAGCUGGACCAAAGGAAAAGAUCCAUGCAAACCCAGGAAUACACUUAGGACCAUGUCAGCAGGAGAUUCUGCAUCUCAGGUGCCCAAGCACCUAUGGGAAGGGAUCUAGCUGGGUAUGUUCUUAGCCCUGUGGAUUCCUCCUUCUGUAGUGAUAAGUACCACUGGAGAAGGGCCAGAGCAAAACCUCUCAACUGGGAGGCCCGGGGCAGAAGCCACUCUCAUUCAAAUAAGAGGUGACACUGAAUAAUUAAUAGACCCACCUUUUUUUUUUUUUUUGCUUUUUAGGGCUCCUCCCAUGGCACAUGUAAGUUCCCAGGCUAGGAAUUAAUGGACCUCUGAAGUAUCAACACUCUUUGGGACAUUCCUCCCCCUUUGGAAUAACAGCCCCUAAUGCAAAAAUUACUCAGAAA
ensembl:lncRNA